rnacentral:rRNA from 1 species
UACGAAGGGGGCUAGCGUUGUUCGGAAUUACUGGGCGUAAAGCGCGCGCAGGCGGAUCAUCAAGUCAGAGGUGAAAGCCCAGAGCUCAACUCUGGAACUGCCUUUGAAACUGGUGAUCUUGAGUACGGGAGAGGUGAGUGGAAUUCCCAGUGUAGAGGUGAAAUUCGUAGAUAUUGGGAAGAACACCGGUGGCGAAGGCGGCUCACUGGCCCGUAACUGACGCUCAGGCGCGAUAGCGUGGGGAUCAAACAGG